rnacentral:rRNA from 1 species
UCCGCAGGUGGUCAGCCAAGUCUGCUGUCAAAUCAGGUUGCUUAACGACCUAAAGGCGGUGGAAACUGGCAGACUAGAGAUCAGUAGGGGUAGCAGGAAUUCCCAGUGUAGCGGUGAAAUGCGUAGAGAUUGGGAAGAACAUCGGUGGCGAAAGCGUGCUACUGGGCUGUAUCUGACACUCAGGGACGAAAGCUAGGGGAGCGAAAG